rnacentral:rRNA from 1 species
UACGAAGGGGGCUAGCGUUGCUCGGAAUUACUGGGCGUAAAGCGCACGUAGGCGGUCCUUUAAGUCGGUGGUGAAAUCCUGGAGCUCAACUCCAGAACUGCCUUCGAUACUGGAAGACUUGAGUCCGGGAGAGGUGAGUGGAACUGCGAGUGUAGAGGUGAAAUUCGUAGAUAUUCGCAAGAACACCAGUGGCGAAGGCGGCUCACUGGCCCGGUACUGACGCUGAGGUGCGAAAGCGUGGGGAGCAAACAGG